rnacentral:rRNA from 1 species
UAAGACAGAGGUGCCGAGCGUUAGGCGGAAUCACUGGGCUUAAAGCGUGUGUAGGCGGGUCGUUAAGUGCCUUGUGAAAUCCCACGGCUCAACCGUGGAACCGCUGGGCAUACUGGCGGCCUUGGGCCACCCAGGGGCAACCGGAACAGGCGGUGGAGCGGUGAAAUGCGUAGAUAUCGCCUGGAACGCCGACGGUGAAAACAGGUUGCUGGGGGUGUGCCGACGCUGAGACACGAAAGCCAGGGGAGCGAACGGGAUUAGAUACCCCGGUAGUCCUGGCCCUAAACGAUGUCCACUGGGUCGCGGAACCUCUGACGGUUUCGCGGCCGCAGCAAAAGUGCUAAGUGGACCGCCUGGGAAGUACGGUCGCAAGGCUA